GACAGACAUGCUGAUGUGUUUAACUUCUCUGGCUUGGAAAGUGAGAAAGGAGGAGAGACAGUGGCAGCAGACAGCGAGGAUGGGGGGGACACGUGCCUGCACUCUCUGUAUUUGAAAACUCAGAAAGAUGACAUUGAGAAACAGGACAAAGACAUCAACGCACACACACACUUCUAAUCUCUCACACGCAAGCAGGCGUGCCCUUCAAAGCCAAAGGAACUGGAGCAGACGAGACAAAGAUGGACACGGUGGCUGUAAAGACACGAGCGGGCGUGCGAGUGUCUCCUGUGGCUGCAAGAGAAAGUCAUUAGGAGCUUUGAAGAUGAAUGUACAGCAUCAUCGGCGAGGGACUUGUGUGGCUCCGCGAGGACACAAAGCCCCCCUUCGGGGUCACCACAGCAUAUCAUCUGCCUCCAUCUCACCCUAUCCCAGAAUUCUCUUCAUGUCAUCCAUCAAUCCAUCCUCCUGGCUGGCAGCUCCAUUUUUAACAUUCUCAGUCCAGUAUAUCCACUAGCCCUCCUCUCCAAACCAUUUAAGCUUUGACUCUCUAAUGUUGUCUUCCAACUGCUCAAUUUCACCAUUUACUUAGAAAAAAAAUCAGG
ensembl:lncRNA